rnacentral:rRNA from 1 species
GGGUUCUACCAUUGGUCGGGCAAUAGUCUGUACUGGUGUGUAGAAUUUCUACCUUCUGGGGAACCAUCAUGUUAUUUAUUUAGCGUGGUGGGAAACCAGGACCUUUACCUUGAAAAAAUUAGAGUGUUCAAAGCAGGCUUACGUCUGAAUACAUUAGCAUGGAAUAAUAAAAUAGGACGGUGGUCCUGUUUUGUUGGUUUCUGAAUCACCGUAAUGAUUAAUAGGGAUAGUUGGG